GUGUCAGCAGCCGCGGUAAUACAGAGGGUGCAAGCGUUGUCCGGAAUCACUGGGCGUAAAGGGCGCGUAGGCGGCCUGAUAAGUAGGAGGUGAAAUCCUGGGGCUUAACCUCAGGGCUGCCUUCUAGACUGUCCGGCUCGAGCACAGUAGAGGCAGGUGGAAUUCCCGGUGUAGCGGUGGAAUGCGUAGAGAUCGGGAAGAACAUCGGUGGCGAAGGCGGCCUGCUGGGCUGUUGCUGACGCUGAGGCGCGACAGCGUGGGGAGCAAACAGGAUUAGAUACCCUGGUAGUCCACGCCGUAAACGAUGGGUACUAGGCGUCGGGGGGAGCGACCCCCUCGGUGCCGUCGCUAACGCAGUAAGUACCCCGCCUGGGGAGUACGGCCGCAAGGCUGAA
rnacentral:rRNA from 1 species